rnacentral:tRNA from 1 species
AAGUAAAUAGCUUAAAUUAAAGCAGAGCUUUGAAGGGGCUUUUAUAGAUAUUCUUUUACUUA